rnacentral:rRNA from 1 species
AAUAGAUACCCGGGUAGUCCUAGCCGUAAACGAUGAACACUAGGCGUAGUCGGUAUCGACCCCGGCUGUGCCGUAGCUAACGCAUUAAGUGUUCCGCCUGGGGAGUACGGCCGCAAGGCUAAACUCAAAGGAAUUGACGGGGGCCCGGCACAAGCAGCAGAGCGUGUGGUUUAAUUCGUCGCAACGCGAAGAACCUUACCAGGGCUUGACAUGUGGCGGAAAACGGCGGAAACGUCGUCCUCCCGCAAGGGACCGUCAUGCAGGUGUUGCAUGGCUGUCGUCAGCUCGUGUCGUGAGAUGUUGGGUUAAGUCCCGCAACGAGCGCAACCCCCGUGGCAUGUUGUAUCUCUCAUGCCAGACUGCCGAGAGAAACUCGGAGGAAGGUGGGGAUGACGCCAAGUCAGCAUGGCCCCUUACGGCCCUGGGCUACACCACACGCUACAAUGGCCGGUACAACGGGUUGCCAAACCGCGAGUGGAGCUAAUCCCUUAAAGCCGGUCUCAGUUCGGAUUGCAGGCUGCAACUCGCCUGCA